rnacentral:rRNA from 1 species
AACGAACGCUGGCGGCAGGCUUAACACAUGCAAGUCGAGCGCCCCGCAAGGGGAGCGGCAGACGGGUGAGUAACGCGUGGGCACGUACCUUUUGGUUCGGAACAACUCCGGGAAACUGGAGCUAAUACCGGAUAAGCCCUAACGGGGAAAGAUUUAUCGCCGAAAGAUCGGCCCGCGUCUGAUUAGCUAGUUGGUGAGGUAACGGCUCACCAAGGCGACGAUCAGUAGCUGGUCUGAGAGGAUGAUCAGCCACACUGGGACUGAGACACGGCCCAGACUCCUACGGGAGGCAGCAGUGGGGAAUAUUGGACAAUGGGCGCAAGCCUGAUCCAGCCAUGCCGCGUGAGUGAUGAAGGCCUUAGGGUUGUAAAGCUCUUUUGUCCGGGAAGAUAAUGACUGUACCGGAAGAAUAAGCCCCGGCUAACUUCGU